rnacentral:lncRNA from 1 species
CCAAAGUGCUGCGAUGACAGGAGUGAGCCACCACGCCCAGCCUUAGCUUAAGUUUUAAAACUUCCAUUUGGGCUCUUGUCAGUUUUGUUGGGGGCAGUCUACGGCAGACACCGUUGGCUAAGUAUUCCUUGCUUAAGGGACCCUAACUUUUUUCCCCCAGUGCAGAUCCUUUGAUUCCAUGGAAGGUAUGCCCAAGUCUAAGGUGAGCAGGCUUCUUAUCCAAUUCUGGCCAAUGAGAUUUAAGUAAAAGGCUGUUGAGGGGCUUUGGGAAAAAUUUUACUUCUUGAUAUAAGAGACAGAGGCUGAGAAGAAAAGCUCUGCAUCACACUACCACCUGCUUCCUGCCUUCCAAGGUGAUGUGAUGAUGUGCUGCAACCAUCUCGUGACUAUGAGCAGGAGGCCACGAGAAUCACAGAGAUGCUGACUUAGGGCCUUGAUGCCUUGGAACCAAUGCUACUACUCACACCUAGAUUUCUGUUAGAGAAAAAUAUUUUUAUUUGUUUCAUCUGUAGUUCAUUGAGUUUUAAUGGUUUAUAGCUGAAAGCAUAUCUAACUGAUAGAGAAUUUGGGUCCUGGAAGUGGAAUACUGCAAGAAACACACUUUUUGUUAGGUCAGAGUGGAGGUUGCGGACUCAACUGUCAGGCAGGAAAACCUUCGGUAUAGCAAAAUAUUUAAGCAACCAUUGGCCUGAUCUGUCUUAUAAUGCAGACCACAGGUUGACUAAGGUUAGAGUGGCAUGGGAAAUGAAAGGAAAAAUUCAGGAUGUUCCUGUGUGUUGGGUUACUUUAAUGGCUGUUAGCAAAAAAAGUCUUACUAUGAGAGGCAAACUUAAAUUAGAUAGGUAAUCUCUAAUCAGAGAGGGAAGAAAGUAUGACUGCUGAGAGAGAUGCUUUCUAACUGUGACCUCCAGUCUAAAUGAACAGAAUUCCAUACUUUGUAGGGUUGGAGAAGGUGUCUUUGAUAUCUCAAGUUAAAACAAGCAGAGGUGGGAAAGUGGCAUCUUUAAGACUGAUAAAACUGGAGAUUUUUUAGCACAAAAACCUGAUUGUGUGAGUUAAAUACCGAGAGGAUUUAGAAGAGCACAGGAUCUAGCUGCAGAGAGACAAGGAUUCUUAGCCUCAAAGACUGUCUAGACGAGAUCUUUAGCUGUGGUUACUAAUGCAAGGAAUUGACCAGACACAAAUAGACGGAAUCUACUGAGUUUUUGAGAGGAACUUUAUUGCUUAAAGAUACUCCAAGCCUCACCAACAACUGCAUGUAAUUAUUGAACCCCAAAGGCAAUCUUUAGGUAUCUGAAUUUGUACGAACACGCAGAGGUUGCUAACAUUUGAGAAAUUUCUCUUGAAUGCUCAUUUCAGAAACAGGCAUUAAAAAUAGUGAUUAAGGCAUAUCUUACUAGAGGGAAGAACCAGAGGCUAUGGAAGAAAAAUCAGGAGAGUUUCGUCAAGAAUAGAACCAGGAAUUGUCAGAUUGACUAAUCAAAGACUGUCUCCAUUGAGAGGGCAGGCAUUUCUCACUAUGUCUUUCUAACAGGAUGAAGUAUAUGCUAGCAAAUAUUAAAGAUUAGUCUUUUCCAACAAUUGUAUAUUAGAUAUGUUGGAAGCAGGAAACCUGAUUUUUGGAGAAAAUUUCCACACCUGAAAGAACUUAUCUCUGGACCAAAUGAAGAUCGAACAUUGUCUAGAGAUACUAGAUUUGGAUGUGAAUGUAGUAGUUAGAGGAAUGUCAUAGUUUUCCUUCCUUAGGGAGAAGGGUGAGUACACCUAAAAACUGCAUGUGUAGGAAGAAGGAUGUGUGUGGAUGUCAGAUUGCCAAAGGGCUGGACUGUGACAGACACUGUGAGCUGGCUACAUAAAAGCACUACUUACCCAGCUUUCUUCUAUAUUAAUGAUCUUAGUCAUCCACCUCCACACUCCCUGCUCCCCACCCCAGCACUUUUUGGACAGAAUUCCCUUGAUUUCAGGAACAGUGUACUUAGUCAUAAAACCUGGUGUGGGCAUGUGAUCCAAAUCUAACCAAUAAUACAAAAGAAGAUGCCUUCUAGAAGUUUCUGAAGGUAAAUGGUCCCACUUUUGACAUGUUAUUAAAUUGCUAAACUUACAACAGCAAUCACCUAAGUCUAAAUUUGUUAUGUGAGAUGAAAUAAAUCCUUAUUUAUUUAAGUCACUAUUUUUGUUUAUUCUUAUUUCUUGUAGGCAAAUAUUUGUUACAAUUAUAAAUUUACAUUUUUAUCGUUAUGUAAAUCAGGGAGUUGCCAACUUAUAGUGUGUGGGUCCAGUCCAGUCCACUGCCUGUUUUUGUAAACAGUUUUGAUAGAAUAUAGCCAUUCCCAUUCAUCUAUAUAGUUGAUGGCUGCUUUCACACUACCGCAACAAAUUGAGUAGUUGCAACAGAAACCACACAGCCUGCAGAACCUAAACAAAUUCCAUCUGACCCAUUAUAGAAAAAUUUGUCAACUCCUGCUCUAAAGAGUCACAUAUAGAAAUCAGUUUAAGUGGGAUAAAAUAUCACUUAUUUUAAUAAUAUUUUAGUACAGUCUCUCCCAAACUUGCCAAGCAUAUGAAUCAGCUGUAGCCUUUGUCAUACUUACGUAUUUCAAGAUCCUGAACUAAGUCUACUGAAUCAAAAUAUUCAGUGGCGAAAUCUGGGAAUCUGUAUUAUUAACAAUUUCCCCACAAGAAUCUUUUGACCAGGCAAGUUUGGAAAAUGCUGUUAUAGAUUGGUGUCAUGGGCAGCUGCUUAUCUGGCCCGCCAUUGAAUUUAUAACUAGCUCCUGCCUGUAAUUCACUGAAAGAGUGCUGGUAUGACCAGGAGACUGAAUAAAGAUUCUCUGAGAUCACAGAGGCUUGCUUAUGAAAUGAAAUACAGUGAAUAGGAAGAUUUUGAUGUAGUAAAAGUUGCAUCAGCUCUGGAAAUGAGAAACCUGGGUUCAGGUUCUAAAUCAGCCUCUAAUUAAUUAUUUGAUCUUGGGCAAGUUUCUCUCUAGAAUCUAAGAUUCUCAACUGUAAAAACCUCAGUAGGAGGGGAUGUCUCCAAGUUGCCUUUUUAGAUAUAUGAAUGUCAGACUCAGAAAGUAGGAAGUGCCUAAGGAAGAAAGACAAAUAUAGUUUCUCUGUUUCUUGAAAUUCUUGUCUUCUUGAUCAGGGUUCCUCAAUCCUGGUUGAACAUUAGACUCACUAUAGAGCUUUAAAAACACGAGUGCUGUAGGUCUUACCCAGAGAGUCUGAUUUCAUCAGCUGGGAGGAGAGCCUAGCCAUUAAAAUAAAAGCUUUCUAGAUGAUUCCAUGUGUUCAGUCAGAUGGAGAACCACCAUCUAGACGAUAAUGGAUUCUUUUUUUCUAUUUCCUAGUCAAGGGUUAUGUGUACAUACUAGUUUCACCAUUUGGGAAACACAGUAAGUAAGAAGAGAAAACAAGAUCAGUAGUUCUCAAAUACUGGUCCUCCUAAUACACAACUGGUUUGGGAACCAUCGGGCCCAGUGAUCUCUGAUGCUCCUUCCAACUUGUAGGAUGUGAAUUUCUGUGCUUAGUUAUAUAAGAGGGAAUGUACCUAAGAGUAAACUUACUGGGUCAUAUGGCGACUCCGUUUGCCUGCAGAAGAAUGGGACUGUGAUUCCUA